CCUACGGGAGGCAGCAGUGGGGAAUAUUGCACAAUGGAGGAAACCCUGAUGCAGCGACGCCGCGUGAGUGAAGAAGUAUUUCGGUACGUAAAGCUCUAUCAGCAGGGAAGAAAAUGACGGUACCUGACUAAGAAGCCCCGGCUAACUACGUGCCAGCAGCCGCGGUAAUACGGAGGGGGCCAGCGUUAUCCGGAUUUACUGGGUGUAAAGGGAGCGUAGGGGGCAGCGCAAGUCUGGAGUGAAAUCCCAGGGCUUAACCAUGGAACUGCUGUGGAAACUGGGCAGCUAGAGUGCAGGAGAGGUAAGCGGAAUUCCUGGUGUAGCGGUGAAAUGCGUAGAUAUUAGGAGGAACACCAGUGGCGAAGGCGGCUUACUGGACUGUAACUGACGCUGAGGCUCGAAAGCGUGGGGAGCAAACAGGAUUAGAUACCCCUGUAGUC
rnacentral:rRNA from 1 species